AGAGGGUGCCUAGCCCAUAGGGGCAGCACGGUGACUGGUUAUGCUUCCUUCACAGGCAUAGUUUAAACAUCGUCACAGCAGAUGAUGACUCAGAAAACGCAUUUGAGAAAGUGAUACAGAAGACUCAUUUGUGUCCUUGGCCCACGUAAAGAAGAAAAUUCAGAGCCCUCCGAACCAACCGAAUUCAAUAAACACCUUCAAAAUUACAGAUUUUUAUAUGACAUGUGUUGGUCACAAGUAAAACCUCUUAAACAAAGUGUGGUAAUAAUUUUUAAAGAGCAUACUGCUGGGCACAGUGAACCAACCCACUUUAUGAAGGCACUUUAACAUUAAAAUA
rnacentral:lncRNA from 1 species